CCGAGCUUUGCAGCCCUCCCCACACCGGAGAGAAAAAACGUUUUUGUCCAGGCUGAACAGGUGAGCAGAGGUUCAGUUAACUGCCGUCAUCGAAGUAAUAGAUGACUGGAAACUUCUAGGAAUAGUGUGUUCGCCACUGAAGGAGGAGCCGUUAGAAGUAGACCUCGAUUUGUUUUUUGAGGAAACCCUUUGGCUUGUUGAUUGAGGGUUAAAUCACCUUUUCCUGCCUGGAAAGCCAACACAUUUAAGGACUCCGAUGCACUGCUUUGGUCCACUGGAGGGGUAUUGAUACUCAUGGGUGCCACAUCCAUGGCAGGAUGUCUUCAUCAUAUCCUGUUUCGUCAAAGAUGUGGUAGGAUCAUUUAAGACCUCUACACGAUUCAAAGGACUAAGGGUUUUUUUCCCUUCCUGAGUGAGGGUUUGGACUCUUUUUUUGGCAACUUUCCAACAUUUUAAUGGACUGAAUUAUCAAUUUGCCCAAAAGCAAGAAGACUGUGUGACAUAGUCCUGAACACAUUGUUAAAGGACAAUUGGUUUUAUUUAUUUAUCUAUUUAUUGAUUGUUCAAUUUUAUCAUUCCUCUAAGAACCCUCUAGGAGAGGGAAUUUAGCAUUUAUUUCCUUUAUGAUGAAUUUUAAAAACUGUUACCUACUUCAAUAGAUUUAAUUUGUUGAAUUGAUUGUUGUGUGUGUGGUUUGUGGGUUGGAGGUUUCAAACCUCAGAUAAUGAGCUACUACUGCUAAGAACCCAGCAAUAGAGUUCAAAGGAACAAAAAGCAAGAAACUUUAGUAAAUAAGACACAUUUGAUCCUGUAGCUCUCACAACACUUUAACUUUGAAGAAGUAUUCCGCGCUGAUAUAUUUGAAUACAGAUACUCAGUUUUUCAGGGAGCCACAGGUUACACAUGCAAUGUUUAAACAGUCACUCAUCUCAGACACAUAUAAUAAACCAACAAAAUUGUUUAGAAAACUAUCAGACAGAUUCUAGAGUGUUUCUGUUACUUUAUUACUUGUUGUUUGUAACUGUUUACAGAGUGGCGAUGACACAGAGCAUUUUCCCAGCUUUAGCCAGGUGCCUCUCGUUUGUCUGACUACUUUCAUAAACUAAAGUUAAGAGCAAAAAAUUAUUCUGUUUGGUGCUUUCAGCGCUGCACAAAUAUUGGAUAAAUGUUGAAAAUAUAGCUUACCUUGACUUUUGUAAAGUUUCUGGUGCCACCAGGCAGCUGCACCAGAGAUCAGAGACAAUCUCUGAAUAAUGUUCACAACAUGGGCGCCGCAGUUGUCAGGAAAGAGGCUGACGUGUUUUCCAAAUUCUGCAUCAGUCCAAGCAAGGCCAUUUCUUUCCUUUUUUAUUCUGAUUUAGUAGCCUUUAACAGAGCACGGUGCAUUGUUGUGUGCGUCAGUGAUAUUCGGUCUGCGAGGAAAUCAUGCAUUGACAAAGAUUCUGCCUUGCUUGAAAUGCAAGUUGUGAUAAAAUGCAUGACAUUUUUUACACAUCAUUGUUUCUAAUUAAUUAAUUAAUCAGAAUUAAUGCGUUAAAGUCCCACUCCUACUUUAUAUUUGUUAAACAUUCUUGAGUUGUAUUUAUAGAUUACAACAUUUACGUUAUUGUUUAUCCAUCCUCUUCUGUUUAUGGAGGAAACAUUUAAUAUCAUACAGCUGAUCUCUGUAUUUAAGAUCAAGCAGCUGGAUAACCAUUUGGCCUCAAAAAUCCACCACUUGUCUAUUCUCUGAUUGGACAGUCAGAGCAAAGUGCUGGUGAUGGUAUCUGAAGGGGUUUGAAUGAAGGCAACUGGACUUCUUAGAUAAAUAAUAAAUGACCUGCACUUGUAUAGCACCUUUCAGAGUCAGAGACUCCAAAGUGCUUUACACUACAGUGUAUCCAUUCACACACUGAUGAUGAGCUACGAUGUAGCCACAGCUGCUCUGGGGCUAGGGCUGCAACAAAUGAUUAUUUGGAUAAUCGAUUAAUCGGAUGGGGUCUCGACACGAUUAAUCGAUUAAUCAGAUUACAUGGGGAAAUUUUUAAAAACUGCUAGGGAAACGUUAUUUCUCUCCUUCCUUCACUUUAUUUAACACAACAUUAUUAGAAAACAGUUCAAUAGCAGAAAAACAACAUGCCAUCACCUAAAUUGUCUUAUAAGGUGUAUAGACAGAGACCCUAAGCUACAUAUAUCUGUGACCUAAAAUGCUUGCUCCAAGUUAAACAGUUUAAGGGCAAUUCUCAUGUGUUUUGUUUGAUCUCAUCUGUUGACAUUUAUUUUAAAUGUAAUUAAACAUAGGCUGUGAAUUAAUCAAAAUUGAUCACUAUUUCCAAAAAUGACUGAAAAAAUACCAAAUAAAACAAAAGUAAAUGAAUGCCAUCCUCCUUGCGAUGAUGCCCUGGGCAACUGCCAUAAAGUCACAUCAAGAAAUGCUGCUGAUCAUUCCAAUGAUCCCAAAUAGACUCACAUUAGGCCACAUGAAAGCAACUGAACCCAAAAAUAUAUUAACCAGUAUAUAACUGCACUCUCACACAACACGCCUGCAGCAACAGUUAGGGCUCCUCCCUCCCUUUUAAAAGCGUUUUUGCUUCUGAGGACAUUGUGGUUGUAAAACCACACGCUAGUAGUCUGGCCCCGGUGUGAUCAACCAGUUUCUGCGGGAAUGUGACGGCGGAACCAGGGCCAGAUUAACACUUUGUUGUACCCUGGGCAACAAUAUUCAAGGGCUCCAUCAUCACGACCCAAGGAUCACCAUGUGUGGUCACAUACAGAAUAUUUUACUGUAAUAUGCAGUAAAUAUACUCAAUACUUGAAUGCCUGACAACACGUAACCCGCCCAGAGUAACCUUUGACCCACCUCGUGUGGACUGACCAAUGAGGAGAGGGUCUUAACUUGAGGCCCUCUCUUCAUUGGUCAGUCUGCAUGAGACUGACUCUCAACUGACAUUCAGUCAUAGGCAGCAAAGCGUCUCUGUGCAGCGUAAGAGCCCGAGUGGACAGUUUGUUUAAUGUAGGGUGACCAUAUUUCCAUUUCCAAACAAGAGGACAGGGGAUCUGUGCCUAUGACGUCACACUAUGGCAACGCCACACAAACCAUGUUGGGACCCAUUUUCUGUAAGAACUAAAUUAAUAUCAGAUUCUGCCAAUUAAAGGGCUCUAAAACAAUUCAUAUGUAAAUAUUUUGCAUAUUUAAUGCAAAAUCUAAUUUUUCUGCUUUAAUGCUGCAACAAGGUUUUAUUAAUAAUAAAUUAUUAUACCUUUUGUUUUACUACAGCAUCGGUACGCUUCCUGUGCACAGAUUAUUAAGGAUGCUUGUUUCAGCUGUGAGAUUAGACGAUAGGAUCAAUGAAAAAAUAAGUUGUCACACACUCCAUGGAAACUUUCAGAGAAUCCACAAAUGGUGGCUUUCACAUGGUUUUGUUACUUUUAAAAAGUUUAGAAAAGAAGCAGAUGAGACAGCAUGUCUGAUAAUUUAGUUUUUCAUCUGAUAAUAUUAGAACAUGUCAGUAAUGUCUGAGGGGCUUUUAUAAACACCGUAUAACUAACACUACUGGAGAGGGUAUGAAUUACACAGAGGCUUCUGGGGAGCCCAUUUAUGGGGGGG